UACGAAGGGUGCUAGCGUUGUUCGGAUUUACUGGGCGUAAAGCGUGCGUAGGUGGCUUUACAAGUCAGGGGUGAAAUCCCACAGCUCAACUGUGGAAUUGCCUUUGAAACUGUAAAGCUGGAGUAUCGGAGGGGAUAGCGGAAUUCCUAAUGUAGAGGUGAAAUUCGUAGAUAUUAGGAGGAACACCGGUGGCGAAGGCGGCUAUCUGGACGAUUACUGACACUCUGGCACGAAAGCGCGGGGAUCAAACAGG
rnacentral:rRNA from 1 species